GGUGAACGCUGGCGGCGUGCCUAAUACAUGCAAGUCGAGCGAACGGACGAGAAGCUUGCUUUUCUGAUGUUAGCGGCGGACGGGUGAGUAACACGUGGAUAACCUACCUAUAAGACUGGGAUAACUUCGGGAAACCGGAGCUAAUACCGGAUAAUAUUUUGAACCGCAUGGUUCAAAAGUGAAAGACGGUCUUGCUGUCACUUAUAGAUGGAUCCGCGCUGCAUUAGCUAGUUGGUAAGGUAACGGCUUACCAAGGCAACGAUGCAUAGCCGACCUGAGAGGGUGAUCGGCCACACUGGAACUGAGACACGGUCCAGACUCCUACGGGAGGCAGCAGUAGGGUAUCUUCCGCAAUGGGCGAAAGCCUGACGGAGCAACGCCGCGUGAGUGAUGAAGGUCUUCGGAUCGUAAAACUCUGUUAUUAGGGAAGAACAUAUGUGUAAGUAACUGUGCACAUCUUGACGGUACCUAAUCAGAAAGCCACGGCUAACUACGUG
rnacentral:rRNA from 1 species